rnacentral:rRNA from 1 species
GACGAACGCUGGCGGCGUGCUUAACACAUGCCAGUCGAACGGUAAGGCCCUUCGGGGUACACGAGUGGCGAACGGGUGAGUAACACGUGGGUAAUCUGCCCUGCACUUCGGGAUAAGCCUGGGAAACUGGGUCUAAUACCGGAUAUUCAGUUCCUGCCGCAUGGUGGGGGUUGGAAAGUUUUUCGGUGCAGGAUGAGCCCGCGGCCUAUCAGCUUGUUGGUGGGGUAAUGGCCUACCAAGGCGACGACGGGUAGCCGGCCUGAGAGGGUGAUCGGCCACACUGGGACUGAGACACGGCCCAGACUCCUACGGGAGGCAGCAGUGGGGAAUAUUGCACAAUGGGCGAAAGCCUGAUGCAGCGACGCCGCGUGAGGGAUGACGGUCUUCGGAUUGUAAACCCCUUUCAGUAGGGACGAAGCGCAAGUGACGGUACCUGCAGAAGAAGCACCGGCCAACUACGUG